rnacentral:rRNA from 1 species
AUUGAACGCUGGCGGCAGGCCUAACACAUGCAAGUCGAGCGGAGCGGCGGACGGGUGAGUAAUGCCUAGGAAUCUGCCUGGUAGUGGGGGAUAACGUCCGGAAACGGGCGCUAAUACCGCAUACUAUCAGAUGAGCCUAGGUCGCAUUAGCUAGUUGGUGGGGUAAAGGCCUACCAAGGCGACGAUCCGUAACUGGUCUGAGAGGAGGACCAGCCACACUGGAACUGAGACACGGUCCAGAAUCCGACGUGAGGCAGCAGUAGGGAAUAUUUGCCAAUGGGCGAACGCCUGCUCCAGCCAUGCCGCGUGUGUGAAGAAGGUCUUCGGAUUGUAAAGCACGUUAAGUUGGGAGGCGUUACCAACAGAAUAAGCUCCGGCUAACUUCGUGCCAGCCGCCGCGGUAAUUC